rnacentral:rRNA from 1 species
AGCGAACGCUGGCGGCAGGCUUAACACAUGCAAGUCGAACGGGCAUAGCAAUAUGUCAGUGGCAGACGGGUGCGUAACGCGUGGGAACGUACCUUUAGGUUCGGAACAACACAGGGAAACUUGUGCUAAUACCGGAUAAGCCCUUACGGGGAAAGAUUUAUCGCCGAAAGAUCGGCCCGCGUCUGAUUAGAUAGUUGGUAGGGUAAUGGGCUCCCAAGGCGACGAUCAGUAGCUGGUCAGAGAGACUGAUCAGCCACAUUGGGACUGAGACACGGCCCAAACUCCUGCGGGAGGCGGCAGUGGGGGAUAUUGGAAAAUCGGCGAGGGCCUGAUCCAGCCAUGCCGGGUGAGUGAUGAAGGCCCUAGAGUUAAGAAGCACUUUUGUGCGGGAAGAUAAUGACGGUACCGCAAGAAUAAGCCCCGGCUAACUUCGUG